rnacentral:rRNA from 1 species
AGAAUGAACGUUGGCGGCGUGGAUUAGGCAUGCAAGUCGAGCGUGUACCCCGCAAGGGGGAAAGCGGCGAAAGGGACAGGAACACGUAGAUUACCUACCCUCUGGUUCAGGAUAGCUGCGGGAAACUGCAGGUAAUACUGAAUAACGUCUCCGGACCAAAGGUGUGAUUCCACCGGAGGAUGGGUCUGCGUCCUAUUAGCUUGUUGGUGAGGUAAUGGCUCACCAAGGCUUCGAUCCGUAGCUGGUCUGAGAGGACGGCCAGCCACACUGGGACUGAGACACGGCCCAGACUCCUACGGGAGGCAGCAGUUAGGGAAUUUUGACAAUGGGCGCAAGCCUGAUCGAGUGACGCCGCGUGCGGGAUGACGCCUUUCGGGGUGUAAACCGCUUUUCCCAGGGACGAGGAGGGACGGUACCUGGGGAAGAAGUCUCGGCUAACUACGUGCCAGCAGCCGC